rnacentral:rRNA from 1 species
GACGAACGCUGGCGGUGUGCUUAACACAUGCCAGUCGAACGGUAAGGCCCUUUCGGGGGUACACGAGUGGCGAACGGGUGAGUAACACGUGAGUAACCUGCCCUCAUCUCUGGGAUAACAGUCGGAAACGGUUGCUAAUACUGGAUAUGAGCUUGCAAGGCAUCUUGUGGGUUGGAAAGAUUUUUUUUGGUUGGGGAUGGACUCGCGGCCUAUCAGCUUGUUGGUGAGGUAGUGGCUCACCAAGGCUUCGACGGGUAGCCGGCCUGAGAGGGCGACCGGCCACAUUAGGACUGAGAUACGGCCCAAACUCCUACGGGAGGCAGCAGUGGGGAAUAUUGCACAAUGGACGGAAGUCUGAUGCAGCAACGCCGCGUGCGGGAUGACGGCCUUCGGGUUGUAAACCGCUUUCAAUUGUGACGAAGCUUUUUUGUGACGGUAGCAGUAGAAGAAGCACCGGCUAACUACGUG